AUGUCAGGCCUGGUGAGAGCUGCUGUCAAACUCCUUUGCAAGGCUGGGGGCAGGCGGUGUCCUGUGUGCUCAGGACACGUGAGGUCUGGCCCCACUGUGGCCGGACCCCGAGCUCCUGCGAGUCUGGCGGCUGCAUCCUCCUAUGCCCCCAGCCCAGAAGCUGAGUUUCCAGAAGCUCCCCAGGCCUGGUCGAGGUCCAGGCAGAGGAACAGGAUUAGGAUUGAGCCCCCGAGGCCCCAGACCUCAGCUUCCUGCACAAACCACAUGACCUGGGGGGUUGAGGGGCUCGAGUCAAGACCCGCAGCAGAUCAGGAAAAGGCCUCGUGCUGUCUGGUUCUGAGCAGACUCGCUGGAGGUGAAUCAGAGCUCUGGAAAUUACUCCUUAAGUUGCGGUCUUCGGUCUCCGUUGCCUGACACUCGUAAAGUUAGUUUUACAAGCAGCCUAAACUCCCCUUUGCAAUGAUCGGCCGAUGGUGACCAGGCAUUUGCCUAGAUUUUUCUCUCCUCUAAAGGCGGGAUUCCAUCUCUGUACAAUCUGUGAAUUGUUCCCAGUGAGAUGGACCUCAUUUUGUCUCGCACCCCCACUGGCAACGCCAGGGGCUGUUGUGGAUGUGGUUUGGAGACCUGCGUCCAAGCAAUAAAAAUGAAUCUCCCCUGUGACCGUCUGGACGACGUGAGCAGAUCCCGAGUCUGGCUUUAAUGGGAGCGGGAAAUCACUAACAGAUGGCGGUGGCGCUCACAGGCUCCCCGCCUAGAACCCUUCUGACGGCAGCUCGCCCCCCGCACGUGCGUCCCAGACGUGGGCUAUUUGCAGGACGCCUGGCCCCCCGCGAUGCUAAAUGUGUAGCAGCAGGGGGGCUGCGUGUGUGCCGGCUGAGGUCAUGGUUAUUCGUUUGGAGGAGAGGCGUUUGGUUUAUAAAACCCCAGCGACUCCACGGGGAGGGCCUUUCGGGGAAGAAAACCAGCCCAGGGUUUGCUUCCUGUUCCGACGCCGGUGGGAUCAGCGCUGACAUCACUGGCCCUGGACGGGCUCUGGGCGAAGUUGCCU
rnacentral:lncRNA from 1 species